CCUUCGGGAAGCGAGCGUACACAGGUGCUGCAUGGCUGUCGUCAGCUCGUGUCGUGAGAUGUUGGGUUAAGUCCCGCAACGAGCGCAACCCUUGCCUCUAGUUGCCAGCAGUUCGGCUGGGCACUCUAAAGGGACUGCCGGUGUUAAACCGGAGGAAGGUGGGGAUGACGCCAAGUCCUCAUGGCCUUUAUGACCAGGGCUACACACGUACUACAAUGGCCGAUACAAAGGGCAGCGACACUGCGAGGUGAAGCCAAUCCCGUAAAAUCGGUCUCAGUCCGGAUUGGAGUCUGCAACUCGACUCCAUGAAGUUGGAAUCGCUAGUAAUCGUGGAUCAGCAUGCCACGGUGAAUACGUUCCCGGGCCUU
rnacentral:rRNA from 1 species